ensembl:lncRNA
AGUUCAGCCAAUCACAUAUACACACUAUGCUGUGCGCGGGUUGUUGUUGUCAUGUGGCCAGGAUGCCAUCUCUGCAAGCUAUCUUUUAGCUGAGUGUUCAGUUAAUAAAGUGUGACGUUUUGCAACAUUGUGUGAUCCUUGACUCACACAAAGGAACAAGUUUCAACAGAUAUGAAUGAGUAGAUAGGACACGCCCCUUUGAGCUGCGUGCUACAGCGAGGCUAAGCUAGUGGGGGGAAAGUUUCAGUGCAUUUCGUUGAUGUACACGGCGUGAAAACGGAAACAACAAGUAUGCCGUCUCACUGUACUGCAUACAAUUACACACUGCGUCGUACGAUUGAGACAAGGAAACUUGGAAUGACUUUUCAUAGGUUUCCCAGAGACUAUGGGUUGAGGAGGAAUUGGAAGUUUGUCGGCUUAGACCUGGUGUCAUUCCAUCAGUGUUAAACUUCCCGGCUCAUCUUGGAAGAGUACGUGCCAGAAAGACCACGACCAAGCAGCCUUGAGAUCUUAGACAGCAUCUCCCUGAGCUUCAGCUCCAGAGACGGCAGGCGGGACGAGUCAACGGAGGCCGGGUGGACGAAGGCAUGCAGCUGAGUACAAUCCAGAAAACAACAGAGGAG